rnacentral:rRNA from 1 species
AUUGAACGCUGGCGGCAUGCCUUACACAUGCAAGUCGAACGGCAGCACGGGUGCUUGCACCUGGUGGCGAGUGGCGAACGGGUGAGUAAUACAUCGGAACAUGUCCUGUAGUGGGGGAUAGCCCGGCGAAAGCCGGAUUAAUACCGCAUGCGAUCUACGGAUGACAGCGGGGGACCUUCGGGCCUCGCGCUAUAGGGUUGGCCGAUGGCUGAUUAGCUAGUUGGUGGGGUAAAGGCCUACCAAGGCGACGAUCAGUAGCUGGUCUGAGAGGACGACCAGCCACACUGGGACGGGGACACGGCCCAGACUCCUACGGGAGGCAGCAGUGGGGAAUUUUGGACAAUGGGCGAAAGCCUGAUCCAGCAAUGCCGCGUGUGUGAAGAAGGCCUUCGGGUUGUAAAGCACUUUUGUCCGGAAAGAAAUCCUUGGCCCUAAUACGGUCGGGGGAUGACGGUACCGGAAGAAUAAGCACCGGCUAACUACGUG